GACAGAGGGUGCAAACGUUGCUCGGAAUUACUGGGCGUAAAGCGCGUGUAGGCGGACUGAUAAGUCAGAUGUGAAAUCCCCAGGCUCAACUUGGGAACUGCAUUUGAAACUGCCAGUCUUGAGUGAUGGAGAGGAUGGCGGAAUUCCUGGUGUAGAGGUGAAAUUCGUAGAUAUCAGGAGGAACACCGGUGGCGAAGGCGGCCAUCUGGAAAUCUACUGACGCUGAGACGCGAAAGCGUGGGGAGCAAACAGG
rnacentral:rRNA from 1 species